rnacentral:rRNA from 1 species
AUAGCGUAUAUUAAAGUUGUUGCAGUUAAAAAGCUCGUAGUUGGAUUUCAAGGGCCGCAGCGUGGACACACGCCUGCACCCUACCAGUCUUUUAGACUGUUACUGUGAGAAAAUUAGAGUGUUUCAAGCAGGCUAUUGCAGGAAUACAUUAGCAUGGAAUAACGAAUGUGUCUAGAAUCUUGGUUAAUUCUAGAUUACGAUUAAUAGGGACAGUUGGGGGCAUUAGUAUUUAAUUGUCAGAGGUGAAAUUCUUGGAUUUGUUAAAGACUAACGUAUG